UUCCUUGAUGAGGCCGAGGGAGAAGUCCUCCCACGGCUUUGCAAUCAGGGAACAGGCUGGGGAUACGUGCUGGUGAGUGACUGAAAUGGUGACUUUCCCCCGCCCAACAAAACACAUCUUUGUCAAAGCGGAGCAGAUAAACAGCCAGAAUAAUUUUACUGUGUGAAGGAGAACUCCUGAAAUGGAAGCUGAUUUGGAGAAUAUGCCUGACAAAGACAGUGGGGCUUCAGCUUGGGAACCUAGAGAAGCCCGAGAGAAGAUUUGCUUUAUUUGGACUAAACAACAUGAAAGAAGAAUCCGUGCCUGGACUCUCUGUGGCAGAGAUGGGAACCAUCACCUGAACCCAGAUCCUUUUGUCCUUCACAAAGAUAUGCACCCAUUCUGCAUUUCUCCCAAGUUCAGAAAGGUGGCAACUUUUAUGGCUCUUUGUGUCCUGUAACAUGAUUAAAGGACAGCCAGGUAAGUUUUAGAUGGAAGUAUAAACUAAUCUUGUCUUUAUUUUUCUGUAUAGAGGAUUUUAUUUGUAUUAUUUAUAUUGUUUCUACUGUGGUCCUAGAGCAUGUCUGUUCCAAGUUGUGUUUGUGAAAACGAGAAGAAGAAUUAUAAGUGUAUGCAGAGACAGAAAACACAUUUAACAUGACAAAGCUAACAUCGCAUGGUUUUAACCUUGUUUCAUUUAAAAUCUCAAAACUAUCUCAGGGCCUCAUUCAGUUUCUUACAGGUGAUCUAUUAUGCAAGAAACAUCACCUUCAGCAUCUUGUAUGAAACCGCCAGGUGUUGUUCAGCCCUUCCAUGUUAAACUCCCUCAUCACUCUUCAAAGGCAGCACGUGAAAAUUAUUCACACAUGUUUGUAAACAUACUAUAAACGUGUUUUCAUAUUCAUAAAAAUAAAAUUACAAAAAUCUGAAAAGCUGUGGCGAUGCAGACAGAAUUUUCCCCAGCACUUGGGUGUUUUUGCUGCUGCACACACUCCCCAGGAGUGAUGCAUGGCAGCGAACCCCAGCAGGUGCAGUCAGCAAAGCUGCUUUGCAAGCACUUCGCUCGCUGCUCGUGCUCCUGGAAUUUAAGAACUUGAGCAUGCCCUUGUUUUAAAAGCCAAACAUUAAAGUCAAUCAGCAAAAGAUUAAGCAGUGCCAGUGCAUUCUGAUACAGCUAAGAAAGAAAAAUCAUCUUAUAUGAGUUAUUUGUGUUUGAAUGUUGAGUCCCAGAGCAGGGUGGUAGCUCUUUGUCGUAGCUCUGUGGAGAUGGAGCCCAUGGUUCUGAACAGCACAGUGGUAGAGCAGGACUGAUUACUAAGCUCCAUUCCAUUCAAACCAACUCAGUUUGCCAAAAAGUCACGCAGUGGGACUUGUCCACGUACCCAGCUACUUUUAAACACUUGCACAGGAACCAGCAGGUCUGGAAGGAUUUCAGAAGAGCUGAUCUCCGUGUGCUGCCCACACGCUGCUUUCACCACAGACUGCAAGUCCCUCUGCGCUGUUGGCGACACAGUUUGUACAAAUGGCAUCUCACCCUGCUCUGCAGUCCUAGUGGUCCUUUCCAAGAAGGAGCUCUAACAGUUCACUGGAAUUGUGUUUGGUCUGCAGGGCCCCUGGAGCUGUUCCGAGCUCAGUUAGUGGCUGGGCUUGGCACAGAAACGCAGAGCACUCUGUGCUGUGUGGACUCAAAACAUCACAGUGGCUCUGUCUGGGCUGGGCUGUUACUCCUGCAGGAGGUUUGGGGCAUGCCACAGGUGCACAGCAUGGCUUUUGGCGUGACUUGAGGUCCUGCAGGAAGGACAGGCCUGCGAUGUGUCUGCUGGAGAAAAACCCAGGAGACCGACGGCAGCAAACAGUGCUGGAAACGGGCUCCACUGGGAACUUGUGGGUAAGGGGUUCUGAAAGCCACAGGGGAACUCUGUGGUCAAAACCAGCUCAUGGCACUGUGCUGGCUCUGUUCAUUUGCUGGUUCUGGCUGGUCCAUUCCUUGAUGGCUCCUGGACCCACAUCUCUGCCCACAGGGACAGAGGUUGCUCUUGUCUCUGUAUGUACUUGCAGAGAUAAAGACCUGGGGGUGAGACAGACCUACUGCCACCUCGGCCCUCCUGUCAGAACAGGUCUGAGUGAGCUACCUGGGGUGUCUCUGUAAUGAUCUCUGUUUUGUCCUGACCUCAGACCCUCAACCCCUGCAGCUGAAGUGUGAGUUCACUGCUGAGGGAGAAGACGUCAAUGUCCUGCAUUUUGAUGUCAUGCUGGGCAGUAAAUGCAGGGCUCUUGACAAACUGUGAGUAUUCUCAGCCAGUAAAGCCUGAUUCCAAUCACAAAUUUUCCUGAUAAUACACAAUAAACUCUAGAGCAAAUAGAUAUGAAAAUCUAUGUUUGAUCUUGCAGAACCUCUCAAGUGCUUGAGACAGUUUCAGGCCCAGUGGACGAAGUUAAGCUAAAUUAAGCACUGUUGAAAUGUAAAGUAGGCAGGGAACAGCUUCCCUUUUGCAGUCCUGGCAGUGCAGCUGCCUGUGCAAGGGGAAAUCCUUUUCAAUGUCAGAGAAAUUGUUGGUUUUGAAAUCUCCAUCAUCUGUGUUAUCCCCUUUUAAUCUAUCCAUCCAAUCUUUUAGAACCGGAGUUUCAGUGUCACAGUACACCCUCCCAGCCAGUUCAGGUGUCAAUUUUCAAUAUCACUUUCUGAGUUCUGGUAAUCUUUUAGCUGCCUUUUUUUUUUUUUUUUUUAAAUGAAGCUGCUUUUUUUUUUUUUUUUUUAGAUUCAUGUAUACUUCAAUGCAUUCAUAUACAGAUCACAGAUGACCUGUCUCUAAUCCUGGUACCGCUUUUGAUAUGAUAACAUAGAGGUAGCUGUAAUAUUGAUACAGCUGAAGAAAUCUGAGGUUUUUGGUGCUCUUCAGAUUUGUACCAUUUCAGGAUUAAAUGCUGUGAGCAUCUGUUUAUAUGAAGACAGAGGGUGAUUACAGAAAAAGUCUUUUCCACAUAAGUACAUAUGUUUUUAUGUCACUCCAAUCUAUUUUCAGCUUAACUAUAUCAUUUUACUAUAUAAGCAGAACUUCUGGAGUUUAUUUUAAGAGUCUUGUAACUACCUGAUCCUAAUGUACCUAAAAAUGUGUUUGCAACUUUCAGCUUAACACUGUGUGACUUCAAUCCUAGCAUUAAGCUCACCUGCCUCAGAGCUCAGCAUCUCCCAAGGUGAGUGCAAGCUGACACAGUUUUAUCUUUUGUGAAGAACCCUUAUUUUUCCUUACCAAAUAGAGAGUGAGAGGCAGGCUGCCCACAGAAGCUGUGAUCAGAAAUGGAUGUGUCAGCUGUUAUCACCGGACUAGCACAGUUGUAAUCAUAGCUGCUUCUAUGUGCCAGAAGAAAUUGGAAUGUUUACAGCUUUUCAGUGCAGCAGGAAGGAAACAAUCACAAGUGAAAUACAAACAUACAGCCACGUGUAAAAAUGCACAGGAAGAGCACAGGAGUGUGCAUAGACCUGUGUGUUCACACUCAGACAAAGAGGAUGCCAAAGUGAACAAGCAGAAAAUGUGCUUGCGGGUAGAAAACGUGACUGAAGGGGUGGAAUGUAAAACCACAUGGAAGCAGAGGAUAAGGUGAGUCUCUGCAGAGACUCACCUUAGGGAUGGCAGCAGCCUUUCUGUUCUAGGGCUGAGCACAAGGGUGUGAGGGUGAGUCCACCCCAACACUUCUGGGUCUGGGCUGGGGGAAGCUGCACACACCCUGUGUGCUGUGCACUCUUAUUGUUGAGACAGAUAAAGCCAGGAGGAAGGUUUUCUGUUGAUGGAGAAACACUCCACAGUAUUUUCAAAGUCUGACAGGAGCAAGCUACUCAGAAACACUGCUCUGUUCAGUGAAAUUGAUGCUGCAAGCAGGAUGAAAGGCCCUAAAUGGAGACAGAAAUUUUCUGAGGGGUAAUACCAGGUGUGGGGGUGAUCUCUGGGGUUUGUGUCUCCCUGCCACUACCUUUGAGCCAGUUCACUUAUCCCCUUCUCUCUUUUUAUUCCUGAAAUUGUGCAACCUCCUGUGCAUCCCCACGUGGUCUGACCAAGUCCUAUCCCCUCAUGUGCACACCCAUCAGCUGGACAUCCCAGACUCCACACCAGUGAAGCCUCCUGCUGAUGAACUCAUCCUUCUCUGUUAACGAGGGGGCUUCAGAGGGAGACUCCUACUGCAGUGACCAUGACAGCCUUGGCACGCUUAGGGCUGGAGUGGAAACAGCCCUGGGCCACUUGCUGCAGUCUUUGCUUGAGAAAGCCCAAAAUGAAGCACAGAGAGGAUUUUUCAUUGCAGGACACAGAAGGAUAUGUGUGUUUUGGGCACUGCUUGGCUCCAUCUGGGCUCUGUGAAGGGACUUUGCCAGAUGCCACUCAAAGCACUUCCACUUGGCUCCUGCUCUGAACACCAGGAGGAGGCUGUUUCUCCCUGUGGGCUCCAGUCUGUGGUGGACCAGCUCACAAACCCCACUCGUGAUCAUCUUCUCUGGAAAAGAUGAGACAGGAACAAGAAAGGAUGGAGAGCAAGAAAAUAAGCUGACCACAUGGUUUCGUUCACUGAAAGAGCCGACUGCAGAAUUAGACAAACACUUUGACUUUGCCGCUGGCUUUCGUGGUUGCUGUACGUCUGAAGACUCCAUUCACCUCUAAUUACAUGUCCAUCGAAAUCCUGCAGAGAAAGAACAGUAGUUAACGGAUUUCCAGCCUUAGUGUAUAGGUCUACUUAUGAAGGAAAUAAAAUGCCCUAAUUAAUUUUCUGCAUCACUGAAAUGGAUCUUCAGUCAAAUGGGGAAGGCACACAUUGUGGAUGUCAGAGAGCUGUCCUAGGACCAAGCCUCCAGCACUAUUUGGGAGCAAAAGAGCUGGAUUACAUAUCCAUCACUUGGCUGGAAAACCUCUUGGUCAGGAACACGCUCCCAAAAGGAAGACCUGGAGACAGAGUAAUAAUGCAAACCUGCUUGAGAGCCCUCAUCCUGGGAGAGAACAGUUUGCUCCAAGGAGCAGCAGACAGGCCAGUGAGCCCUCGGAACACGCUCUGGAACGCAUGCACGGCCACGUUUUCCUGACAGGCUGCUUUAAGUGCUCUCCAGAGCUAUUUGAUCAGGU